GGAACGUUUGUGCUUGUAGAUCCAAUCCAAAGUCACGAAUUAUCUUACUGGAAAAAUUGUUCUAACAAGAAUAAAAGCAUGAAAGGUUAAGAAGAAUUGAAGCUUGUACUCUGGUGCCAAUUCCAGCGACUUAGUACUUAGCAGACGCUUUCAUGAUUUCAGGGGAUAGCUUGCGGACUGUCUCUAGUUUUUCAUUGGAUUCUAUUUUGAGUAAUUUCCUUUCCAUUCACAAGAUGGUCGACCAACCCUUUUCGGAUGCAAACUUCAAGACCUGAAACUUGUACCUCCAGUUAAAGAAGAUUAGAUGUUUGUUGUUUUUUUAAUCUAGGUAAUCAACGACUCCCCCCCACAAUCACAGGCCGGUGUUUACGUUUGACCCAGCUUUUCAAAAGAGUUCAUUUAUGUUUGGGUGGCGCGGCUAUAUAUGCUAAUAUAGAGAGAGUCCCACACCGACUGGAGGAGAAGCAGAUUGUUGAUGGGGUGAUAAAUAAAAGGCCCAGAUGGGCGCCAGGGAGAAAACCAUGAUCCUUCAGGCAGUUUACGGGGAUGUGAUGAGCGGUCAAAGCUCGCAUUUAAACAUGCGAGAUGGGUGCCCGGCCCAAAGCCUGGUUACGACAACCCGGGCGCUCCCAUAUUUACCAAUCUGAUCCCUUCGUCCUUUCUUUCUUUUGCUUUUCUGCCGAGUCCCUUGUAACCGGAGAAGAGAAGGGGCAUAAUGGGAUUGUGGUUUGUGCGAGUCCUUUUUACUUUUAACCCCAGCCCUUCCAAAUCCAAAAAACCAUUUUUGUUUUUGUGUUUUCUUUUAAAUGAUUCUUCAAUUGGAUCCA